GUGGAUUAGAUACCCUAGUAGUCCACGCCGUAAACGAUGUCAACUAACCGUUGGGUUCUUAAAGAACUUAGUGGUGGAGCUAACGUAUUAAGUUGACCGCCUGGGGAGUACGGCCGCAAGGCUAAAACUCAAAUGAAUUGACGGGGGCCCGCACAAGCGGUGGAGCAUGUGGUUUAAUUCGAUGCAACGCGAAGAACCUUACCUACCCUUGACAUGUCGCGAAUCUUUCAGAGAUGAGAGAGUGCCUUCGGGAACGCGAACACAGGUGCUGCACGGCUGUCGUCAACU
rnacentral:rRNA from 1 species